rnacentral:lncRNA from 1 species
CUGGACAUUAAAAAAAUUCAGGUGUUCAGUCUGGACUAUCGAAUCAUUCAUAUUUUGCAGAUUAUUUUAAACCUCUGGUUAUGCACAUUUGGAAUACCAAGUUAUUUUGAAAAUAAAAAGAUUGUAAUUACAUAUUUUUCUUGUCGAUUCUUCCAUUUCGAUUAUUAGUCCUUCCAAAUUACUACUUCUUACACAUAACGAAGACCAUUCCAAA